AAGGUAAUAAUCCUGUAGUCGAAAAUGUUGUCUCUCUUGAGUGGAUCCUGAGUACGACGGAGCACGUGAAAUUCCGUCGGAAUCUGGGAGGACCAUCUCCUAAGGCUAAAUACUCUCUAGUGACCGAUAGUGAACCAGUACCGUGAGGGAAAGGUGAAAAGCACCCCGGAAGGGGAGUGAAAUAGAACCUGAAACCGUGUGCUUACAAGUAGUCAGAGCCCGUUAAUGGGUGAUGGCGUGCCUUUUGUAGAAUGAACCGGCGAGUUACGAUUUGAUGCAAGGUUAAGCAGUAAAUGUGGAGCCGUAGCGAAAGCGAGUCUGAAUAGGGCGUUUAGUAUUUGGUCGUAGACCCGAAACCAGGUGAUCUACCCUUGGUCAGGUUGAAGUUCAGGUAACACUGAAUGGAGGACCGAACCGACUUACGUUGAAAAGUGAGCGGAUGAACUGAGGGUAGCGGAGAAAUUCCAAUCGAACCUGGAGAUAGCUGGUUCUCUCCGAAAUAGCUUUAGGGCUAGCCUCAAGUGAUGAUUAUUGGAGGUAGAGCACUGUUUGGACGAGGGGCCCCUCUCGGGUUACCGAAUUCAGACAAACUCCGAAUGCCAAUUAAUUUAACUUGGGAGUCAGAACAUGGGUGAUAAGGUCCGUGUUCGAAAGGGAAACAGCCCAGACCACCAGCUAAGGUCCCAAAAUAUAUGUUAAGUGGAAAAGGAUGUGGCGUUGCCCAGACAACUAGGAUGUUGGCUUAGAAGCAGCCAUCAUUUAAAGAGUGCGUAAUAGCUCACUAGUCGAGUGACACUGCGCCGAAAAUGUACCGGGGCUAAACAUAUUACCGAAGCUGUGGAUUGUCCUUUGGACAAUGGUAGGAGAGCGUUCUAAGGGCGUUGAAGCAUGAUCGUAAGGACAUGUGGAGCGCUUAGAAGUGAGAAUGCCGGUGUGAGUAGCGAAAGACGGGUGAGAAUCCCGUCCACCGAUUGACUAAGGUUUCCAGAGGAAGGCUCGUCCGCUCUGGGUUAGUCGGGUCCUAAGCUGAGGCCGACAGGCGUAGGCGAUGGAUAACAGGUUGAUAUUCCUGUACCACCUAUAAUCGUUUUAAUCGAUGGGGGGACGCAGUAGGAUAGGCGAAGCGUGCGAUUGGAUUGCACGUCUAAGCAGUAAGGCUGAGUAUUAGGCAAAUCCGGUACUCGUUAAGGCUGAGCUGUGAUGGGGAGAAGACAUUGAGUCUUCGAGUCGU
rnacentral:rRNA from 1 species